CAGUCGCCACGGGAAUACGAAGGGAGCUAGCGUUGCUCGGAAUGACUGGGCGUAAAGGGCGCGUAGGCGGAUUGUUUAGUUAGGCGUGAAAUUCCUGGGCUUAACCUGGGGACUGCGCUUAAUACAGGCAGUCUAGAGUGAGGAAGAGGGUUGUGGAAUUCCCAGUGUAGAGGUGAAAUUCGUAGAUAUUGGGAAGAACACCGGUGGCGAAGGCGGCAACCUGGUCCUUGACUGACGCUGAGGCGCGAAAGCGUGGGGAGCAAACAGGAUUAGAUACCCCGGUAGUCCCUGUCUCUUAUAA
rnacentral:rRNA from 1 species